CCUACGGGGCGCAGCAGUGGGGAAUAUUGGGCAAUGGAGGCCACUCUGACCCAGCAAUGCCGCGUGAAUGAUGAAGGUCUUCGGGUUGUACAGUACUGUGAUGGGGGAUGAACGCAAUGACGGUACCCCAAUUGCAAGCCACGGCUAACUACGUGCCAGCAGCCGGGAUAAUACGUAGGUGGCAAGCGUUAUCCGGAAUGACUGGGCGUAAAGGGUGCGUAGGUGGUUUAGUAAGUUGGCGGUGUAAUUCCGGGGCUCAACCUCGGCGCUACCGCCGAAACUAUUAGACUAGAGUGCAGGAGGGGUAAGUGGAAUUCCUAGUGUAGCGGUGGAAUGCGUAGAUAUUAGGAGGAACAUCAGGGGCGAAGGCGACUUACUGGACUGUAACUGACACUGAGGCACGAAAGCGUGGGGAGCAAACAGGAUUAGAUACCCGGGUAGUC
rnacentral:rRNA from 1 species